AGCAGCCGCGGUAAUUCUAGCUCCAAUAGCGUAUAUUAAAGUUGUUGCAGUUAAAAAGCUCGUAGUUGAAUUUCAGGGUUAAUAAGUUGGUCGUACCUAUGGUAUGUACUGGCUUUAUUGAUUCUUACCUCUUGACGAACUGUGAUGCCAUUAAUUUGGUGUUGCAAGGAAUCAGGACUGUUACCUUGAAAAAUUGAGUGUUAAAGCAGGCUUACGCUUGAAUACAUUAGCAUGGGAUAAUGAAAUAGGACGUUUGAACCUUAUUUUGUUGGUUACUAAGAUCGACGUAAUGAUUAAUAGGGAUAGUUAGGGCU
rnacentral:rRNA from 1 species